rnacentral:rRNA from 1 species
UACGUAGGGGCAAGCGUUGUCCGGAAUUAUUGGGCGUAAAGAGCUCGUAGGCGGUUUGUUGCGUCGGCUGUGAAAUCCCGAGGCUCAACCUCGGGUCUGCAGUCGAUACGAGCAAACUAGAGUGUUGCAGGGGAGACUGGAAUUCCUGGUGUAGCGGUGAAAUGCGCAGAUAUCAGGAGGAACACCGGUGGCGAAGGCGGGUCUCUGGGCAACAACUGACGCUGGAGGAAGCGAAAGCGUGGGGAGCGAACAGG